AGCAGCCGCGGUAAUUCCAGCUCCAAUAGCGUAUAUUAAAGUUGUUGCAGUUAAAAAGCUCGUAGUUGAAUUUCGGGGUUAGCAGGUUGGUCGUGCCAAUGAUAUGCACUGGCCUUGCUGAUUCCUCCCUCUUGUAGAACCGUAAUGCCAUUAAGUUGGUGUUGCGGGGAAACAGGACUGUUACUUUGAAAAAUUAGAGUGUUUAAAGCAGGCUAACGCUUGAAUACAUUAGCAUGGAAUAAUGAAAUAGGACGAUCGAUCCUAUUUUGUUGGUUUCUAGGAUUGACGUAAUGAUUAAUAGGGAUAGUUGGGGGCAUUAGUAUUCAAUUGUCAGAGGUGAAAUUCUUGGAUUUAUUGAAGACUAACUACUGCGAAAGCAUUUGCCAAGGAUGUUUUCAUUAAUCAAGAACGAAAGUUAGGGGAUCGAAGACGAUCAGAUACCGUCGUAGU
rnacentral:rRNA from 1 species